rnacentral:rRNA from 1 species
UACAGAGGGUGCUAGCGUUGUUCGGAAUUACUGGGCGUAAAGCGCGCGUAGGCGGACCUGCAAGUCGGGGGUGAAAGCCCGAGGCUCAACCUCGGAACUGCCUUCGAUACUGCGGGUCUCGAGUCCGGGAGAGGUGAGUGGAAUUCCUAGUGUAGAGGUGAAAUGCGCAGAUAUCAGGAGGAACACCAAUGGCGAAGGCAGCACUCUGGGACGUGACUGACGCUGAGACGCGAAAGCGUGGGGAGCGAACAGG